CUUCUACCAAAUAAAGUAUCUUGACUGAAAAUGUCAAAAGACAUACUUCACAAUUCACACACAUAUUUACAUAUUGCUGAUGCCUGCUGUCAUGCAAAAGUCAAACAGUGGAUUGUUGGCCAAAGAAAGACAUCCAUACUGUGGAUAAAAAGAGUCUAGAAUCCAGUUAGGCAUUCUGAAAUUAAGUAUAUUAAAAUAUUUAU